rnacentral:rRNA from 1 species
AGAGUUUGAUCCUGGCUCAGGACGAACGCUGGCGGCGUGCCUAAUACAUGCAAGUAGAACGCUGAAGGAGGAGCUUGCUUCUCUGGAUGAGUUGCGAACGGGUGAGUAACGCGUAGGUAACCUGCCUGGUAGCGGGGGAUAACUAUUGGAAACGAUAGCUAAUACCGCAUAAUAUUGAUUAUUGCAUGAUAGUCAAUUAAAAGGUGCAAUUGCAUCACUACCAGAUGGACCUGCGUUGUAUUAGCUAGUUGGUGGGGUAACGGCUCACCAAGGCGACGAUACAUAGCCGACCUGAGAGGGUGAUCGGCCACACUGGGACUGAGACACGGCCCAGACUCCUACGGGAGGCAGCAGUAGGGAAUCUUCGGCAAUGGACGGAAGUCUGACCGAGCAACGCCGCGUGAGUGAAGAAGGUUUUCGGAUCGUAAAGCUCUGUUGUAAGAGAAGAACGAGUGUGAGAGUGGAAAGUUCACACUGUGACGGUAUCUUACCAGAAAGGGACGGCUAACUACGUGCCAGCAGCCGCGGU